GGUGAUAGAGAUGUAGUCUUUCGACUUUUUGCUAAAUUUUAGUGUUUGAAUUGAUUUUGUCAGAUUGAAUUUCGCACCUGCUGGUUUUGGGUUCCCGACGACCAACCAAACACGGCAUUGUUUCACUCGCUACAUUGAGUUCCACAGGUAUGAGUCUUAGAAUCAAUAUCCUUCACUAAUUCCUUGGAAGGAGUCAUAGUGAUACAUUAGAAAGGUAAACUAUGAUCCAUAUACACUGGCUUCGACUUUGGAUAGUAGAAUGGCCCUAAUUUGACAAAUUGAUAGGUUAGCCUUAGCCAAUACCAUAUUGCUGGUAUGUAGAAUUGUAUUUAAUAAAAUUGCUAUUGGUCUGACUAUAUUCUAGAUUAUUUGGCAGACUGAUUGAUUAUCAUUUUGAUAAGAAUUCCAAUUUCAUUAUGCGGUCAGUAUGAGCAGGUCAGUAUGAGCAGUUAGUACUAACAACCAUAUUCCUUGAAUUUAAUCUAUAUCGUUCUGGUAGUCAAAAUGCUUGGUGGUUGAAAUCCAAGGGGAGGAAGAAGAAAAUAGAUGAUGGUGAAGAUGCAGUGAAGGAGAGUGGAUACUGCAUCAGUUUAAGGUUUAUUGGCUGCUGUGUUACUUCAAGAUCUACAGUUGAUAGCUUUGUGAGUAGCAUCAGCACUCAUGUUUCAUUGGUUGCAGGGAAUAAACCCAUCGCCUAUGUUUGAGUGUCAAAAAAGGUGGUUAGAAUUAUUAUUGGGUUUACGUGCAGAUCCUAUCAAGUAUUGCACUUGCAAAAUUCAAGAUUAUAAGGCACCUCAUUGUGAACAGGAUGAGGAUGUAAACUUUGAUGACGUUGAUGCUGAAUGUAUUCAGCAACAAUCAGAUAUUCAUAAUAGUAUUGUCAUGAAGCUGGUUAAGAAAGUUGCCCAUAGAGGAUCUACAGCUCCAGAUAGUAUUGCGAAAAGAUUUGAUCAAAAAAGUUAUACUUAUGUUUCAAUGUAAUAUAGGAUGAUGAUGUUUGAUACUAAUGGAUGUAGGAUGAUGAUGUUUGAUACUAAUGUAUAAAUUUUUAUUAUUAA